GACAGAGGGUGCAAACGUUGCUCGGAAUUACUGGGCGUAAAGCGCGUGUAGGCUGACCGGAAAGUCGGGCGUGAAAUCCCUGGCUCAACCCAGGAACUGCACUCGAAACUCCCGGUCUUGAGUGGUGGAGAGGGAAGUGGAAUUCCUGGUGUAGAGGUGAAAUUCGUAGAUAUCAGGAGGAACACCAGUGGCGAAGGCGGCUUCCUGGACACCAACUGACGCUGAGACGCGAAAGCGUGGGGAGCAAACAGG
rnacentral:rRNA from 1 species